GACGUAGGGCGCGAGCGUUGUCCGGAUUUAUUGGGCGUAAAGAGCUCGUAGGCGGCCUGUUGCGUCCGCUGUGAAAGCCCGGGGCUUAACCCCGGGUCGGCAGUGGAUACGGGCAGGCUAGAGGUAGGUAGGGGAGAAUGGAAUUCCCGGUGUAGCGGUGAAAUGCGCAGAUAUCGGGAGGAACACCGGUGGCGAAGGCGGUUCUCUGGGCCUGUACUGACGCUGAGGAGCGAAAGCGUGGGGAGCGAACAGG
rnacentral:rRNA from 1 species